rnacentral:rRNA from 1 species
UACGGGGGGUGCGAGCGUUGUCCGGAAUCACUGGGCGUAAAGGGCGCGUAGGCGGCCUGGUAAGUAGGGGGUGAAAUCCUGCGGCUCAACCGCGGGGCUGCCUCCUAGACUGCCUGGCUCGAGCACAGCAGAGGCUAGUGGAAUUCCCGGUGUAGCGGUGGAAUGCGUAGAGAUCGGGAAGAACAUCGGUGGCGAAGGCGGCUAGCUGGGCUGUUGCUGACGCUGAGGCGCGACAGCGUGGGGAGCAAACAGG